UAAGACGUAGGGUGCAAGCGUUGUCCGGAUUUAUUGGGCGUAAAGAGCUCGUAGGCGGCUCGUCGCGUCGACCGUGAAAACUUCGGGCUUAACCCGGGGCUUGCGGUCGAUACGGGCGGGCUAGAGUUCGGUAGGGGAGACUGGAAUUCCUGGUGUAGCGGUGAAAUGCGCAGAUAUCAGGAGGAACACCGGUGGCGAAGGCGGGUCUCUGGGCCGAUACUGACGCUGAGGAGCGAAAGCGUGGGGAGCGAACAGGAUUAGAUACCCUGGUAGUCCACGCUGUAAACGUUGGGCGCUAGGUGUGGGGAUCUCUCCAGGUCUCCGUGCCGCAGCUAACGCAUUAAGCGCCCCGCCUGGGGAGUACGGCCGCAAGGCUA
rnacentral:rRNA from 1 species